rnacentral:rRNA from 1 species
AUUGAACGCUGGCGGCAGGCUUAACACAUGCAAGUCGAGCGGAGAUGAGGUGCUUGCACCUUAUCUUAGCGGCGGACGGGUGAGUAAUGCUUAGGAAUCUGCCUAUUAGUGGGGGACACCAUUCCGAAAGGAAUGCUAAUACCGCAUACGUCCUAGGGGAGAAAGCAGGGGAUCUUCGGACCUGGCGCUAAUAGAUGAGCCUAAGUCGGAUUAGCUGGUUGGUGGGGUAAAGGCCUACCAAGGCGACGAUCUGUACCGGGUCUGAGAGGAUGGUCCGCCACACUGGGACUGAGACACGGCCCAGACUCCUACGGGAGGCAGCAGUGGGGAAUAUUGGACAAUGGGGGGAACCCUGAUCCAGCCAUGCCGCGUGUGUGAAGAAGGCCUUAUGGUUGUAAAGCACUUUAAGCGAGGAGGAGGCUACUGAGACUAAUACUCUUGGAUAGUGGACGUUACUCGCAGAAUAAGCACCGGCUAACUCUGUGCCAGCCGCCGCCGUAAUAC